rnacentral:rRNA from 1 species
UAAUACAGAGGCCUCGAGCGUUGCGCGGAAUCACUGGGCUUAAAGGGUGCGUAGGCGGAUACACAAGUGCCUUGUGAAAUCCCAGAGCUCAACUCUGGAACUGCUUGGUAGACUGUGUGUCUUGAGGUCGGUAGAGGUCGCUGGAACGGUUGGUGGAGCGGUGAAAUGCGUAGAUAUCAACCGGAACGCCCAAGGUGAAGACAAGCGACUGGGCCGAAUCUGACGCUGAGGCACGAAAGCGUGGGGAUCAAACGGG